rnacentral:rRNA from 1 species
CCUACGGGAGGCAGCAGUGGGGGAUAUUGGACAAUGGGGGGAACCCUGAUCCAGCGACGCCGCGUGAGUGAAGAAGUAUUUCGGUAUGUAAAGCUCUGUCAGCAGGGAAGAAAGAAAUGACGGUACCUGACCAAGAAGCCCCGGCUAACUACGUGCCAGCAGCCGCGGUAAUACGUAGGGGGCAAGCGUUAUCCGGAAUUACUGGGUGGAAAGGGGGCGUAGACGGUUAAGUAAGUCUGGAGUGAAAGGCCGGGGCCCAACCCCGGGACUGCUCUGGAAACUAUUGAACUUGAGUGCAGGAGAGGUAAGCGGAAUUCCUAGUGUAGCGGUGAAAUGCGUAGAUAUUAGGAGGAACACCAGUGGCGAAGGCGGCUUACUGGACUGUAACUGACGUUGAGGCUCGAAAGCGUGGGGAGCAAACAGGAUUAGAUACCCCAGUAGUC